GACAAGCAGUGGCACGACGUGAUGGGUGAUGUGGCUCAUGAGUCCCGUCUGGCUGCCUGAGAGGUCGGGUCAGAGUGGCUCAUACUGGGUCGGUACUGAAGAGGUCCGUCUGGAGACGCCUCGGGAGUGUGUGAGCCUGCGCUGUCGGAGGAGAGAGUAUGGGUGUGUGUGUUCUGCUGAGCGUGUUGCUGUGUGCGCUUCUCACGGCGUCUCCAGUCAGAGGGGACAGCACCUGCACAGCCCCUUCCAGCCCUGUGUGCUACAAGGCCAGCAGGCGUCCAGACGAGGAUUUCAUAUGUGAAUGGACGCCAGCGGGGGACAUGGGAGGCUUCUCACAUACUCUCCACCAGGGGAAUGAAACAGAGGGAGUUUAUAAGCGGAUAACUGAUUGUGGAAAACAGUCCUGCACACUGAUAUAUGAGGAUGUGUCUAUAGACAUCCCCCUGCUAAUAUGGGUGUCUGCUCAUAGAGACAACAUCAGCUGCUCCUCAGCCCACACCUCCAUACAACUGGACCAGUCAGUUAAAUACCCUGCACCUGUGAUAGAGAUAUCAAGAUCCUCUAAAGAGUUGCGCCUAGAGAUGAAGAAGGCUAGAGACAACCAGGAUGCGGACUAUGAGAUCAGAUAUAAGGAGAUCAGGGGGAACAGCACCAGCCCAUGGGCAUACGAAAACACGACUGAAGGCAAAUCAGACGUCUUUCAGAUGUCCGUACGGCCGGACGCCGCGUAUGAGCUGCACGUGCGCCGCCGAGCGAGGGAUGUGCGGCACGCGCUGUGGAGCGACGAGACCCCCGUCAUCGUCCCCGUCCCACUUACUGACCUGGCAGUGACAUGGAACACCACGCUGAACGAGGAGAAGAACGCUCGCACACUCACCCUAUCUUUGGAGCGCCCCCGCUAUGAGGUGAGUUUGGGCGGUCUGCACUAUAACGUGUCCUACUCCGCUUGGCCCUGUGACCCUGAGGACCACACCCAACUGACCAGCAGCACAGAGGUCAAGGUCAGCAUCACGCUGUCUGAGGCCCGGAUACGCGUCUACGCCAGAAACAACGUGGGCUCGUCUCCCAGCUACAGCUUCACCGUGCCGGCUGUCCACCGCAGAGGUGUGUACUGCCCUGGACAGAAUGCCUCAUACCUGGUGCCGAAGGAGAAGAAGCAUCGCAAGCGGCUCUGCUGGGAGUGGUACCGGCUGGACGACGGAGAGACCCGGCCCGACCCAGCGCAUGUGCACAGCGCCACUGGGAGAACCGAGACCAACAUCACUCAGAUUGCAGGGAUGGAGGACUUUGUGCGCUACUACUACUUUAUCCACAUGAGGAAGAAGAAGAAUCUGCACACCCUCUACAGCUGCCCUGUGUACAAGACAGAGUCAACUCCACAGGUGAGCCCCCUGAACCUGACGGUGCCGGUGGUGACGCCCACAUCUCUGCAGGUGUGCUGGCUGCCCAUCCCUGUAGCCCAGCAGCGGGGGUUCCUCACACACUACCACCUCUGCCUGUCAGGAGACUGUGAAAAUGUCUCUGAAUCUCAGACCUGCAACACAUUCCAAAAACUCAAGCCUGGUUCUGAGUACAGCAUCUCUGUUGCCGCGGCGACCCGUAUGGGCUCAGGCCCUGCUGUCAUCGAGAAGAUCUGGACGAGUGAGGAUGGCACUGUAACGGGUUCCCAGAGGGAUGUGAUCAUCAUCAUUGUCUCUCUGCUCGCCAUCACUCUGCUGUUCCUCUGCCCUUUCCUCUUCAUCAGACUCAGAAGCAAGCUGCCAGCGGUCCCAAAGCCUGUCAUUGCGGUGUCCAUAAAGUACUCCCCCAGUUCGCAGGAAGUGCACCCACCCAAGGAGGAAGUGCAUGUGGUCACCCUGGAGCACAUGCAGAAACCCACCGAGACCCUGUGCAUCACCCCUGAGGAGGGGCUCACGCUGCUGCAGGAGGAGGGGGGGGUGGGGGGGGCCGAGAGUGAGAACACACACCAGGAGGAGGAGGAGGAGGAGGAUCAGGACCACGUGAUGAAGGCACAUGAGUGUGAUGGCGCUCAGAACCCUAACUACAAGCGGCAGACCCUGAGAAUGCCUGAAGACUCGGAGAUGACGGAGAAAGCUCUGAAUGAGUGUGAUGUCACAUCACCCGUGUACAAGAACGCACAGGUGUUCGACAUGAAGCCAGAACUUUGUGAGAACGGAGAAUCCUUUGUGUAGACCACCUCAAUAGACUACCUCAGUGUUCGAGCACUGCAGAAUGUAAACGUCACGUGAGAGCGAAGGAACUCUCUCAACCCUCUGAAUGGUAUCACCUGUAGCAUCUGAGAGUCUUGGAAGAACAAAGGAACUCUCUAGACCUCAGCAGAACAUCUGCCUGUUAUUGCCUGUAGUACCAGUGAGUCUUAGAAGAACUGAAGAACUAGCUGUAGACCCCAGCAGAAGAACUAAAGAACUAAAGAACUAGCUGUAGACCUCAGCAGAAGAACUAGAGAACUAUCUGUAGACCUCAGCAGAAGAACUAAAGAAUUAAAGAACUAGAUGUAGACCUCAGCAGACGAACUAAAGAACUAGAGAACUAUCUGUAGACCUCAGCAGAAGAACUAAAGAACUAGCUGUAGACCUCAGCAGAAGAACUAGAGAACUAAAGAACUAGCUGUAGACCUCAGCAGAAGAACUAGAGAACUAUCUGUAGACCUCAGCAGAAAAACUAGAGAACUAUCUGUAGACCCCAGCAGAAGAACUGAAGAACUAGCUGUAGACCCGAACUAGAGAACUAUCUCUAGACCUCAGCAGAAGAACUAGAGAACUAUCUGUAGACCUCAGCAGAAGAUCUAAAGAACUAUCUGCAGACCUCAGCAGAAGAACUAGAGAACUAGAGAACUAUCUGUAGACCUCAGCAGAAGAACUAGAGAAAUAUCUGCAGACCUCAGCAGAAGAUCUAAAGAACUAUCUGCAGACCUCAGCAGAAGAACUAGAGAACUAGAGAACUAUCUGUAGACCUCAGCAGAAGAGAUCCAGAGAGGCAGCAGGUCAGGUAACACACACAGGUGUGCAUUAGGUGAGAGGUCUGCACACAGGUGUGCAUUAGGUGAGAGGUCUGCACAGCACACACAGGUGUGCAUUAGGUGAGAGGUCUGCACAGCACACACAGGUGUGCAUUAGGUGAGAGGUCUGCACACAGGUGUGCAUUAGGUGAUUAGGUGAGAGGUCAGCAAGGUGAUCCGCUACCUCAGUGAGUCAUCAUCGCUCCGCAUCGGCCGGAAGCGAUCGCGCUCUUUUGAGAGACUAAUGGUUAAAAGGUGUCAUCACAGACGAUCGCUCUCUCCUGUGAGACUAAUGGUUAAAAGGUGUCAUCACAGACGAUCGCUCUCUCCUGUGAGACUAAUGGUUAAAAGGUGUCAUCACAGACGAUCGCUCUCUCCUGUGAGGCUAAUGGUUAAAAGGUGUCAUCACAGACGAUCGCUCUCUCCUGUGAGGUUAAUGGUUAAAAGGUGUCAUCACACAGACUUGUGGUGACAUAUGUGGUUGAGUUCAUGAAGUUCAUGAAAUCCCUGGUUAUGGUGCGCCAUUAGCCUUUAGAAUUAAAGGACAAAAUAAAACAGGUUCAUUGUUUGGUUUACUUAAACGUUAUUGUCUUACAUAUAUCCUUAUAUAGAUCUUAAAAUAAAAAGAUCUUAAAUGUUAUUGCCUUUAUUUUAAAUAAAAUAUUUUGAGAUUUUGUGUCA